rnacentral:rRNA from 1 species
GUUGAACGCUGGCGGCGUGCUUAACACAUGCAAGUCGAACGGUGAAGCAGGAGCUUGCUCUUGUGGAUCAGUGGCGAGCGGGUGAGUAACACGUGAGCAACCUGCCCCUGACUCUGGGAUAAGCGCUGGAAACGGCGUCUAAUACUGGAUAUGUGAUGUGACCGCAUGGUCUGCAUCUGGAAAGAAUUUCGGUUGGGGACGGGCUCGCGGCCUAUCAGCUUGUUGGUGAGGUAAUGGCUCACCAAGGCGUCGACGGGUAGCCGGCCUGAGAGGGUGACCGGCCACACUGGGACUGAGACACGGCCCAGACUCCUACGGGAGGCAGCAGUGGGGAAUAUUGCACAAUGGGCGGAAGCCUGAUGCAGCAACGCCGCGUGAGGGAUGACGGCCUUCGGGUUGUAAACCUCUUUUAGCAGGGAAGAAGCGAAAGUGACGGUACCUGCAGAAAAAGCACCGGCUAACUACGUGCCAGCAGCCGCAGUAA